rnacentral:rRNA from 1 species
GCUAAGGUAGUAUAAUAACUUGUCUUUUAAUUAAAGACCAUAUAAAAGAUUUAACAUUUUAAUUAAUAUAAAAAUUUAAAUUUAUAAAUUAUUCUUAUUAUAAAAAAAUAAUUUUACAAAAAAAAGACGACAAGACCCUAUUGAACUUAACUUUAGUUAAACUGGGGUAGUUGAUUAAACAUAUCUUAAUACAAAUCUAUAUUCAUAUAGACCUAAUUCAACUAAUUAAAAAAUUAAGUUACCAUAGGGAUAACAGCGUAAUAAUUCUUAAAAUUCCAUUUAAAAAAACAAAUUACGACCUCGAUGUUGAAUUAACAUUCUAAUUUACGCAAUAGUAAAAAAAGUAAGUCUGUUCGACUUUUAAAAAGUUACAUGAUCUGAGUUCAAACCGGAG